UACAGAGGGGGCAAGCGUUGUUCGGAAUUACUGGGCGUAAAGGGCGCGUAGGCGGCCUUCUAAGUCGAACGUGAAAUCCCCGGGCUCAACCCGGGAACUGCGUCCGAUACUGGAAGGCUUGAAUCCGGGAGAGGGAUGCGGAAUUCCAGGUGUAGCGGUGAAAUGCGUAGAGAUCGGGAGGAACACCAGUGGCGAAGGCGGCACCCUGGACCAGCACUGACACUGAGGCACGAAAGCGUGGGGAGCAAACAGG
rnacentral:rRNA from 1 species